GUGAACGCUGGCGGUAGGCCUAACACAUGCAAGUCGAACGGCAGCACAGUAAGAGCUUGCUCUUACGGGUGGCGAGUGGCGGACGGGUGAGGAAUACAUCGGAAUCUACUUUUUCGUGGGGGAUAACGUAGGGAAACUUACGCUAAUACCGCAUACGACCUACGGGUGAAAGCAGGGGAUCUUCGGACCUUGUGCGAUUGAAUGAGCCGAUGUCGGAUUAGCUAGUUGGCGGGGUAAAGGCCCACCAAGGCGACGAUCCGUAGCUGGUCUGAGAGGAUGAUCAGCCACACUGGAACUGAGACACGGUCCAGACUCCUACGGGAGGCAGCAGUGGGGAAUAUUGGACAAUGGGCGCAAGCCUGAUCCAGCCAUACCGCGUGGGUGAAGAAGGCCUUCGGGUUGUAAAGCCCCUUUGUUGGGAAAGAAAAGCAGCAGGUUAAUACCCCGCUGUUCUGACGGUACCCAAAGAAUAAGCACCGGCUAACUUCGUG
rnacentral:rRNA from 1 species